UACAGAGGGUGCGAGCGUUAUUCGGAAUUACUGGGCGUAAAGCGUGCGUAGACGGUUAUGUAAGUUAGGUGUGAAAGCCCCGGGCUCAACCUGGGAAUUGCAUUUAAGACUGCAUAGCUAGGGUGCGGAAGAGGGAAGCGGAAUUUCCGGUGUAGCGGUGAAAUGCGUAGAUAUCGGAAGGAACAUCAGUGGCGAAAGCGGCUUCCUGGUCCAGCACCGACGUUCAGGCACGAAAGCGUGGGGAGCAAACAGG
rnacentral:rRNA from 1 species